AGCCCGCUCAGAAACUUAAAGGAAUUGACGGGGGCCCGCACAAGCGGAGGAACAUGUGGUUUAAUUCGAUGAUACGCGAGGAACCUUACCUGGGCUAGAACGCAUUCGGAAUCAGGCCGAAAGGCCUGCGCCAGCGAUGGCCGCUUGCGAGGUGCUGCAUGGUUGUCGUCAGCUCGUGCCGUGAGGUGUCGGGUUAAGUCCCAUUAACGAGCGCAACCCCUACUGCUAGUUGCCAGCGGGUCAUGCCGGGGACUCUAGCGGAACUGCCAGCGUAAGCUGCGAGGAAGGUGGGGAUGACGUCAAAUCAGCACGGCCCUUACGUCCAGGGCUACACACGUGUUACAAUGGCCGGUACAGAGGGCAGCCACCCCGCGAGGGGGCGCGAAUCCCGAAAGCCGGUCCCAGUUCGGAUCGGAGUCUGCAACCCGACUCCGUGAAGCUGGAUUCGCUAGUAAUCGCGCAUCAGCCACGGCGCGGUGAAUACGUUCCCGGGCCUU
rnacentral:rRNA from 1 species